GUUUGAGAUCAAAAGUGGUUCCGGUCCAUUGAAAACAUGGCAGCCAGUGGGUGGGGCAGUUUUCCUAAUUUGGCUAUAGAGAAACCUUGUAAACACUCUAGAGGCUACAUUUUUUGUCCGACCUUCAUGGAACUUGGUCAGAAGAUUUGUCCCAAUUAUACCUCGAUCGAAUUCUAAACUAGGUAAUGCUGGGUCAAAAACUAGGUCGCUAGGUCAAAAAAAAGAAAAAGCUUGUAAACACUGUAGAAGUCACAUUUCAUGCCCAACCUUCAUGUAACUUUUUCAAAAUGUUUGUCUUCAUGAUAUGUUGGUUGAGUUCAAAAGUGGUUCCGGUACGUUGGAAAACAUGGCUGCCAAGGGGACCGGGCAAUUUUCAUUAUAUUUAUAUAGUAAAAAAGGCUUGUGAACAGUCAAAAAGGCACAUUGUUUGCCCUAUCAUCAUGAAACUUUGUCAAAACAUUGGUUUUUAUUGAUAUCUCAGACGAGUUCGAAAAUGCUCCUUAUCGGUGAAAAAACAUGGCCGCCAGUGGGCCAGUGUUUCCUAGAUACAAGAGACGAGUUCGAAAAUGGUCCGUUGAAAAACAUGGCUGCCAAGGGUGGGGGCGCAUUUUCCUUAUAUUUAUAUAGUAAAAAAAGCUUGUGAACACUCUAGGCUUGUGGACAGUCAAAAAGGCACAUUUUUUGCCCUAUCAUCAUGAAACUUGGUCAAAACCUUGGUUUUAUUGAUAUCUUAGACGAGUUCGAAAAUGCUCCUGAUCGGUGAAAAAACAUGGCCGCCAGUGGGCCAGUGUUUCCUAGAUACAAGAGUUGAGUUCGAAAAUGGUACCGGUGCAUUGAAAAACAUGGCUGCCAGGGGUGGGGGCGCUUUUUCCUUAUAUUUAUAUAGCAAAAAAAGCUUGUGAACACUCUAGAAGACACAUUUUUUGCCCAAUCAUCAUGAAACUUGGUGAAAACAUUGAUGUUAUCUUUAUCUCAGAUAAGUUCGAAAAUGGUCCCGAUCGGUCCAAAAACAUGGCCGCCCGGGGGGGGCAAUUUUCCUUAUAUGAAUAUAGAGAAACCUUGCGAGCACUCUAGAAGUCACAUUUUUGCCUAAUCAUCGUGAAACUUAGUCAAGACAUUUGUUUUAUUGAUAUCGCGGUCAAGUUGGAAAAUGGCUCAGAUCAGUGAGGUUUUAGGAUCGGUCUUUAUCCGUCGUCCGUCCGUCCACAUUUGGUUUGUUAACACUCUAGCAUUCCCAUUUCUCAAGCAUUUUUAUCAAAGUUGCUGAGAAGCUAUAUGGCCACAAGCUCUCAAUCAAGUUUGAUAAUGUGCAAAAUUGCAUACUAAAUGCCAGAAUAAUUGCCCUUAGAUUUUCAAAAUUUUCAUUAUAUUAUACAAAAUCCUUGUAAACACUAGAAGUCUUAAUUUUGUUUCAGAUUUUAUGAAUCUUAGUUCUUACUCCUAAUAUUAUUUUUGUAAGCAAAGUUUGAUGUUAGGUCAUGACAAAAAAAAUGUCCACCAGGACGGGUUUUUAACCAGGUUUUCCGAAGGAAAAAACUGGUUAUUAGAUUGGCGAAUGCGGGCGGGCUGGCUGGCUGGCAGGCUGGCUGGCGUGCUGGCGGAAUAAGCUUGUCCGGGCCAUAACUAUGUCGUUCGUCAGAUUUUAAAAUCAUUUGGCACAUUUGUUCACCAUCAUUGGACGGUGUGUCGCGCGAAAUAAUUACGUCGAUAUCUCCAAGGUCAAGGUCACACUUUGAGUUCAAAGGUCAAAAAUGGCCAUAAAUGAGCUUGUCCUGGCCAUAACUAUGUCAUUCAUUGUGAGAUUUUAAAAUCAUUUGGCACAUUUGUUCACCAUCAUGGGACGGUGUGUCCCACGAAAGAAUCACGUCAAUAUCUCCAAUGUCAAGGUCGCCACGACUAAAAAUAGAUUAAAAAAAAAAAAAAAAACUUACAAAGGGGGUUAAUUUUUUUUGGUCAUUUCAAAAGUUCAGUUU